AUUUCGAAAGACACGAACUUGGUCACCUCUUAGGUGAUUCUGGUUAUCCACUCAAAAAGUACCUCAUUACGCCAGUAACAACUCCUACCACUGAGAAGGAAGUACGAUUCAACCAAGCUCAUUCAAGUGGCCGGAUGGUGGUUGAACGAGCAUUUGGAAUGUUAAAAUCUAGAUUCAGAUGUUUGCACAGAACUGGAGGAGUUCUAUACAAAACUCCUGGAAAGUGUUGCCAAAUUGUAACUGCAUGUACAAGACUGCAUAACUUCUGUUUGGAAAGAAACAUACCAUUGCCAGAUAUCAACCAAGUCAUUGUUGACAGACAGGAGGAGGUGCUUGCAAAUACUGCAGAUCUAAAUGCUGUUGCUUAUCGGCAACACAUCAUUGAGCGUUUUGGGUAGAAGAUGGAUUUUGCUCAUGUGUUUAGGUCAGAGUCACAGACUGUUGUUGCAUGGCAGGAAUUAUGGAGCAUUUGAUCAUUUUAGCUUGACUUAGAAUCCAUCCAAUGGCAUGUUUAUUCCUUGCUGGAUCCUAUCUAUAUUUUUGAAACGUUUUUAUGUCUAACAUCUGUUAACAACUGAAUACAACUUUAUAAACUAUACAUUGCUUAAGAAAUAAUAUAUCUCAUCUUAUUUUUACAAGAUUUUUUUUAUUAGUACCUCUGUUAAUCUCUGUAAACAACUGAAAAUAACUUAUGUAGUUUGAUAACUGGGCCACUUUCUCAAUCUCAUCUGUACCAUUACAACAACAAUUACUAUGUAAAUUGUAAUUAUUUUUACUAGUAAAAUUCUUAGUGCCUACGACAACUGAAAAUAAGUUAAGUUUCUUUAUAAGUAUGUAACUUGUAAACGUCAACAAAAUUGAUUGAUAAUUUUGAAAAAUUUUGUAACCACGUCCUUUUUUGGUUUCAUUGAGAUCCUGCCAACAUCUGAUAAUACUGUAUUUAUAAAUUGUAACUAUUUUUCACUUUCUGAAUUUCAUGGUACAUCUGUUACCAUCUAUUUACAUCUGAAUAUAGUUCUUUUUGUUUGCACACCAAUAUUUCAUAUGUGGUAUUAACUAAACAAUAUUUGAUGCCAAAAUAAACAUAUUGAAUUGUAUUGUUUAUAUGUUGAAAUGGACAAAAUAAUAGGAUAAAAAACACAU